GGGUGAUAUCGUGCCUGCGUGUUUCUGUUUUCGCGCACUUUUGUGUGGUUGUCGAUGCUAACGUGAAGGACGAGUGGCGUCGUGCUUGAUCGAUCCAGCUUUUCUAUAAAAUUAACGUGUUUCUGAUGUUGUGCACAUUGAGUUCUUUUCAAAGCUGACGUGCCAGAUAAAUCCAGCUUUUCUAUAAAAUCACUGGUGAGUGACAUUACCAAACAUCGUAAAACAACGGCUCUUGAGGGAUUGCUACUUUUCCUGCUUGAGAAGUCAGCAAAUUUGCUCAAGAUAUGCCUGGAUACGAAUUCUGUGAACUGCUGCACCAAAGGUGUAAAGAUUGGAAUUCUGACUGUGGAGGAAGAUGAUGUUGCCGGUGUUACAUCGCAGCCCACUGUUAUCAACAUGGCCAUAAUCUUGGAGGAGGCCAUUGUGCUUGAG